UAAUAAAAAACAAAGUUUGUAAAAUUAAUCGUCAUAUGUGUAAUGCUAUACAUGGGUUCAAGUAUAUAUGUAGAUAUUAAUGCCUGUCAUAUGGGCAAUACUGCGUGCCUUGAAACUUGCUUAGCUAACACAUGAGCAACUCAGUUACAAGACUUGCUUAGCUAACACAUGAGCAACUCAGUUACAAAAGCGACUUGUAUCAUCAUAGAAAAAUCUACAAAACAUGAGCUAAUCUCUCUAGGUUUCCUUGAUGAUUAGCGCAAUCCAUGAUUGUUGGUUGGCGCCC
rnacentral:lncRNA from 1 species